UCGAGGAUCUUCGGCAAUGGGCGCAAGCCUGACCGAGCGACGCCGCGUGGGGGAUGACGGCCUUCGGGUUGUAAACCUCUUUCGGCCCCGACGAAGCGUGAGUGACGGUAGGGGUAGAAGAAGCACCGGCCAACUACGUGCCAGCAGCCGCGGUAACACGUAGGGUGCGAGCGUUGUCCGGAAUUAUUGGGCGUAAAGAGCUCGUAGGCGGUGUGUCGCGUCGGCCGUGAAAACCUGCAGCUUAACUGUGGGCUUGCGGUCGAUACGGGCAUCACUGGAGUUCGGCAGGGGAGACUGGAAUUCCUGGUGUAGCGGUGAAAUGCGCAGAUAUCAGGAGGAACACCGGUGGCGAAGGCGGGUCUCUGGGCCGAUACUGACGCUGAGGAGCGAAAGCGUGGGGAGCGAACA
rnacentral:rRNA from 1 species